rnacentral:rRNA from 1 species
GGAGUUAGCCGGUGCUUCUUCUGCGAGUAACGUCACAGAUGUAAGGUAUUAACUUACACCCUUUCCUCCUCGCUGAAAGUGCUUUACAACCCGAAGGCCUUCUUCACACACGCGGCAUGGCUGCAUCAGGGUUUCCCCCAUUGUGCAAUAUUCCCCACUGCUGCCUCCCGUAGGAGUCUGGGCCGUGUCUCAGUCCCAGUGUGGCUGAUCAUCCUCUCAGACCAGCUAGGGAUCGUCGCCUAGGUGAGCCUUUACCUCACCUACUAGCUAAUCCCACCUGGGCUUAUCCAUCAGCGCAAGGUCCCGAAGGUCCCCUGCUUUCCCCCGUAGGGCGUAUGCGGUAUUAGCAGUCGUUUCCAACUGUUAUCCCCCACAAAUGGGCAAAUUCCCAGGCAUUACUCACCCGUCCGCCGCUCGUCAUCUUCAAAAGCAAGCUUUUGAAAUGUUACCGCUCGACUUGCAUGUGUUAGGCCUGCCGCCAGCGUUCAAUCUGAGCCAUAAUCAAACUCUGA